rfam:TPA: Bos taurus chromosome 7, whole genome shotgun sequence.
CCAUUGCUGGCUCAGCUGGUAAAGAAUCUGCCUUCAAUGCAGAAGAUCUGGGUUCGAUCCCUGGGUUGGGAA